GCCCUUAGAGUUUGAUCCUGGCUCAGAACAAACGCUGGCGGCAGGCCUAACACAUGCAAGUCGAACGAGAUCUUCGGAUCUAGUGGCGGACGGGUGAGUAACGCGUGGGAACGUGCCCUUCUCUACGGAAUAGUCCCGGGAAACUGGGUUUAAUACCGUAUACGCCCUUUUGGGGAAAGAUUUAUCGGAGAAGGAUCGGCCCGCGUUGGAUUAGGUAGUUGGCGGGGUAAUGGCCUACCAAGCCUACGAUCCAUAGCUGGUUUGAGAGGAUGAUCAGCCACACUGGGACUGAGACACGGCCCAGACUCCUACGGGAGGCAGCAGUGGGGAAUCUUAGACAAUGGGGGAAACCCUGAUCUAGCCAUGCCGCGUGAGCGAUGAAGGCCUUAGGGUUGUAAAGCUCUUUCGCUGGGGAAGAUAAUGACGGUACCCAGUAAAGAAGCCCCGGCUAACUCCGUGCCAGCAGCCGCGGUAAUACGGAGGGGGCUAGCGUUGUUCGGAAUUACUGGGCGUAAAGCGCGCGUAGGCGGAUUGGAAAGUUGGGGGUGAAAUCCCGGGGCUCAACCCCGGAACUGCCUCCAAAACUAUCAGUCUGGAGUUCGAGAGAGGUGAGUGGAAUUCCGAGUGUAGAGGUGAAAUUCGUAGAUAUUCGGAGGAACACCAGUGGCGAAGGCGGCUCACUGGCUCGAUACUGACGCUGAGGUGCGAAAGUGUGGGGAGCAAACAGGAUUA
rnacentral:rRNA from 1 species